AUUCUGCCCAAGCGGGGAAGGAUGAGAAGCUUCGACCAACGUUCGACUUGAGCGCCAGCGAGAGAGCGUUGCCGCAGGCAACGACCCGAAGGGCGAAGCGCGCAGCGCUGAGUAAUCCUUCCCCCACCACCA
rnacentral:sRNA from 1 species